rnacentral:rRNA from 1 species
CUUAGUAACUGCGAGUGAAGCGGCAGAAGCUCAAAUUUGAAAUCUGGCGUCUUUGAUGUCCGAAUUGUACUUUGGAGAGGCAUCUUUGGAGAUGGCGUUGUCCCAAGUUCCUUGGAACAGGAUGUCGCAGAGGGUGAGAAUCCCGUACCUGGAUAGCUGUCCAUCUCCAUUUCUGGAUGCUUUCGACGAGUCGAGUUGUUUGGGAAUGCAGCUCAAAAUGGGUGGUAAAUGUCAUCUAAAGCUGAAUAUUGGCGAGAGACCGAUAGCGCACAAGUAGAGUGAUCGAAAGAUGAAAAGCACUUUGAAAAGAGAGUCAAAAAGUACGUGAAAUUGCUGAAAGGGAAGCGCUUGAGAUCAGACGCAACUCCCUUAUGUUACUCUGGGCUUCUGCCUGGAAAUAUAUGUCUGGGAUUGAGCCAGCAUCGAUCUUGGCGGUGGGAUAAAAGGUUGGGAAAUGUAGCUUUCUUUGGGGAGUGUUAUAGUCCCGGCCAGAAUGCCACCAGUGAGGAUUGAGGACCGCGCUUCGGCUAGGAUGCUGGCAUAAUGGUCUUAAGCGACCCGUCUUGAAACACGGACCAAGGAGUCUAACAUCUAUGCGAGUGUUCGGGUGGAAAACCCUUGCGCAAAAUGAAAGUGAACGGAGGUGGGAACUCGCAAGGGUGCACCAUCGACCGAUCCUGAUGUCUUCGGAAGGAUUUGAGUAGGAGCAUAGCUGUUGGGACCCGAAAGAUGGUGAACUAUGCCUGAAUAGGGUGAAGCCAGAGGAAACUCUGGUGGAGGCUCGCAGCGGUUCUGACGUGCAAAUCGAUCGUCAAAUUUGGG